GCUAAGUUUUGGAGUCUUGCAUGCUUGCAAAAGGUUUCCUACCCGAACCCUCAAGGGUAUCCUUCCAUGCCCAUACCACUUGUGCCCUUGAAAAGAAUUUAUUUCCAGAUUUCUUGAUCCACACUAUAGAAUGCAUCAUCCAACAAAUAAUCUCAAUCUUUUAAUUCAUUCUCUGGAGGCAUUCCCCAAAUGAUAGACAUCCCACCUGCCGGGAGCCACGCUGUUUGACACAGUCCACGUGGAAACCAGGAACUGCAAAGCAACCCCCAGGAAGGAUGGAAACACCCACUGAAAUCCCACUAAGUGACUUUCAUUAUUAAUAUCCCCUUAUUAUUGGAAUUGCCAUGAUUAUUAUUCUUACUUAACCCCAGUAAAAAUAAAUGAGAGCAACAUGCUUACAGGAUUAAUACAGAUGUCCCACUCUGUCCCCCAAACCUAAGGAUUCUUAUAUACCCACUUAGAUAGGACCCUCUUUUCUAGGCAUAAAAACUUCUGCCAAAUCUGUGCCCUGAAUUCCCUAACCUAUAUCUGGGUCAUGUUGAUUCUACCCACUGAUCCUGCCCUUAGCAACAAUGUUUCAUUGACUAUCUCCCUAGGCUUCCUGUCUGUUGUUAGGUUCCAUGGAAACAUGUAUGUUGGGAAUGAAACUGUGUGCCAAGUAGAUGUGUGAUCAUGAAGGUAUAAAAUAAAACCAGGCCUAAGCCAAGGAGGAGCAGUUUUAUCCUGUGAAAUCUGUGCUGUGGGUUAAAUGCAAAAGCUAUGUCCCAUCCAUCAUUUCACCAACACUGUCCCACCUCCAAGACCCCAUCUCCUGUGGGAGGAUGGCCCACCCCACAGCACUCACCAUAAAGAAAGUUGCUAUAAAUAUUUUGGGAGAUAUAGGUUCCUUUUCCUUUUUCCCUGACCUAUAAGGGUUUACAGUUUUAUGGCUCUCUGAGUAUAAUUCCAAAUUGUUCUCCAAAAUGGUUUGAAGUCCACAAUUCCAUCAAUAGUAUAUCUCCACUUUCCCCCUCCCCAACAUCUAUCCUUUUGCCCUUUUAUCAUUUUAAUCAAUCAGAUAGAUGUGAAAUGAUACCUCAGAAUCGUUUUGGUUCAUAUUUCCCUACUCAGUAAUGAUUUAGAGCAUUUUUAUAUACCUAUAUAUGGCUUUGAUUUGUUCAUUUAAAAAACUGUUCAUAUUUUUUGCUCAUUUAUCAAUUAAGGGAUGGAGCUUAUUCCAAUAAAUUUGACAAAGGUCUCAAUAUAUUUCUGAGACCUCUAUCCAAGAGGCUAUCUGUGAAAAUUUUUUUGCAACUUUCUAUUCACUCAAAAAUUCCUCUCCUAUCCUAUCUCAUAAGUAAUAUACUCCCUGUUCUGAUUUGCUUAUAUCUCCUUUUAUGAAGAGAUCUUGUAUUCAUUUUGAUCUUAGUUUAAUGAAGGUAUAAGAUAUUAUACCUAGUUUCUGCCAAACCACUUUCCAGUAGCCCAAGCAAUUUUUACCAAAUACUGAUUUCUUAUCCCAAUAGCCUGGAUCCAUACUUUUGUCAAAUACAAGGAUAUUGUAAUCUUUUACCACUGUUUGUUAUAUGUCUGCCCUAUCCUACUGAUCUAGGGUUAGGGUUUUUUCUUGGCCAAUAUCAGAUAUUUCUGAUAAUUACUGCUUUAUAAUAGUUUAAAAUCUGAUACCACUAAACUGCCUUCCUUUAUAUUUGUUCAUUAAUUCUUUUGAUAUUCUUGAUCUUUUGUCUUUCCAAAUGAAUUCUGCUAUUGCUUUUUCUAGCUCAAUAAGAUAAUUUUUUGGUAAUUUGACUAAGAUGACAUUGAAUAAGUAGAUUCAUUUAAGUAGGAUUGUCAUUUUAAUUAUAUUGGCUCUGCCCAUCAAUGAACAAUUAAUAUUUUUCCAGUUAUUUAGAUCUGACUUUAUUGGUAUAAAAAGUAUUUUCUAAUUAGGUUUGUAUAGUUCCUGAGUUUCUUUUGGCAGGUAUAUUCUCAGAUAUUUUAUUCUAUUUGUGGUUAUUUUAAAUGGACUAUCUCUUUCUAUCUCUUCUUGUAGGAUGUUAAUAAUAUAUAAAAAUGCUGAUGAUUUAUGUGGGUUUAUAUCAUAUCCUACUACUUUACUAAAAUUAUUGAUAAUUUCAACUAACUUUUUUAGUUGAAUCUUUAGGAUUUUCCACAUAUGUCAUCAUAUUAUCUGCAAAAAAUGAUAGUUGUUAUUACCUCUUUGCCCAUUCGAAUUCUCUCAAUUUCUUUUUCUUAUUGCUAUUGCUAGCAUUUUUAAUACUAUGUCAAAUAAUAUUGGUCAUAAUAGUAUCUCCAAUGUAUUCUUAUAAUAAACUAAUUGUCAACCAUUUAUUAAGAUACAAUUCUAUCCUCAUAGGUUACAUGAUAAAUUAUAUAUUCAAAAUAACUAAACAAUGUGAAAUCGCUUUAAGGAAAUUGAAAAAUGUCAUUUUUCUCAAA